rnacentral:lncRNA from 1 species
CAAUGUUUGUCGAUCUGAUUGGAAAAAGUGUUGCAGUUAUUGUACAAAAUGAAAAUUUGUGAGGAUUAAUUAAUAUAGUUUCGCCUUUCAGCAAUAUUUGACAAUGAUGAAGUUCAAAUUGUGAGUGCAAGCAAUGCAAUAAACUGAACUAAACUUCGAUUGUAUGAUUUAGCUACAUUGAAUAAGCCGGCGGCGGACAUUGAAGACUUUAUUAGCA